AGGGUUUGAUUAUGGCUCAGGACGAACGCUGGCGGCGUGCCUAACACAUGCAAGUCGAACGGACGAGGAGGAGCUUGCUUCUCCAAGUCAGUGGCGGACGGGUGAGUAACGCGUGAGUAACCUGCCCUUCAGAGGGGGAUAACGUCUGGAAACGGACGCUAAUACCGCAUGAUAUUGCGGGGUCGCAUGGCUCUGCAAUCAAAGGAGCAAUCCGCUGAAGGAUGGACUCGCGUCCGAUUAGAUAGUUGGUGAGGUAACGGCUCACCAAGUCGACGAUCGGUAGCCGGACUGAGAGGUUGAACGGCCACAUUGGGACUGAGACACGGCCCAG
rnacentral:rRNA from 1 species